rnacentral:rRNA from 1 species
UACGAAGGGGGCUAGCGUUGCUCGGAAUCACUGGGCGUAAAGGGUGCGUAGGCGGGUCUUUAAGUCAGGGGUGAAAUCCUGGAGCUCAACUCCAGAACUGCCUUUGAUACUGAGGAUCUUGAGUUCGGGAGAGGUGAGUGGAACUGCGAGUGUAGAAGGUGAAAUUCGUAGAUAUUCGCAAGAACACCAGUGGCGAAGGCGGCUCACUGGCCCGAUACUGACGCUGAGGCACGAAAGCGUGGGGAGCAACAGG